AAAUACAAUACUUUAGUUAUCUUUCUUCUUUCCAUAAAAUGUGCUUGUUCCUAUGCCGGCCAUUUUAGAUGUAGUGUAAGAAGUUGAUCCUCGCGUCACAGACUGUAACAUGACACAUCACUAGAAAGCCCAGAAUGUCCUCUAGAGUUACUAGAGUAGCUUAAAAAAGUCAGAGGACAUGCAUGAAAACAAAACAUCCACUACAGAGGACACAAGUCAAUGGGCGGAGUCUCAGGAGGAUAUAAAAACACUUUACCCAACCUGCUACACUACACAGCAGGGAAAAGCCUGUCAGUCGAAGACGAAGCUACUGUAACUCGAUCACAGCACGGCUGCUAUAUAGUUCUAUAUAUUUUCUAUUUUAUUCAAACCUGUUCUUGAUUUAAAGAAGAAUCUAAUUAAAUUUUAACCCCUCCAGAUAUUCUUCAUCAGAUUACAGGGUGAACUAUGAACUACAGACUCCACACAACCUGACCAUGACCUCUUUGAACUCUGUUGCUGAAAAAUACAGGAAGCUGGAGAGAGCUGUGACCAUUUUGGAAACACUCAACCAGAAGAUGAAUGAAAUCAUGAAAUGGCUGGAGGUCCAUAAGAAUGACUCUGUUGAACUCGAGGGAAUUGAUGUCCCCUUGGAGUCAGGAAUCCUGGCCAAGUUCCUUCAACAACUCUCAACGGCUCUGGGGAACAUGAAGCGACUAGCAGACGACAUCAACCAACUCAACCAGAGCAAACAACCAAUCAAAGAUGCCCAGAUUAUAACCAUAAACCGCAGCAUGAUCCGUAUUGUGUCAACAUUUGAGUCUCUCGCCCAGUUCAAAGAAGAAAAGCAAAGCAAAAUCGCUGCAUUGGCAUCACUUCCUGUCAGCGUGGAGGAAGCGGAGGAGUGGAAGCGUGAGCUGGGUUCUGAUGGUGGUCCUACUCUUCAGCUCUUACAUCUUACCCUGUACAAAUACAAGUAAAAGGGCAUGGACUGUCCAGAACCAGAAGCGUAAAAUGGUGUCCUGAUUCACUGCCUGUUGUUUCAAUCAGUAUAUACACAAUUCUGAUGAUUUUAUUGUUUUUAAUCAGUAUAUUCUUAGUUAGUUAGUAUUGUUAUAAUUAACUAGUUGGAUUAGGUUAAGAAGUCAAUCUUUUAAUGCUCUGAUAUUUCAGUGUGGCGGUACUGUUUUCAGAUUCCUUUGUGUACGGAAAAUUCAAAGGUAAAAUAAUUUCUAUAACAAUUGCAGUAAAUGUUUUUUGUUGUUGUUCAUUCUGGAUUAACGAUAAAAAUAGAAAAAGAGAGAAAAAGAGAAUAUUUAAAAUUCUCUGAUCAUCAUAUGAUAAUCCUUAUGUUAUUCCUUAGUGUGUAUCCACUAACCUGUGUUAGAAAAGAUGCACCAAUGUUCAAGGACGUGUGUGUGUGUGUGUGUGUGUGUGUGUGUGUGUGUGUGUGUGUGUGUGUGUGUGUGUGUGUGUGUUAGUGUUAGUUUGCUAAAAGACUUCCUUUAUACUCAUAUCAAACACCAGAUGGAUGAUCUGUAGAGUGCCCUUGUUUUGAAAGUGUAUAAAACACUUUGGGUCAAGCUGGA
ensembl:lncRNA